rnacentral:tRNA from 1 species
GAUCCCAAGCCUUCUGGCGAUCUCUUAAAAUAAAGCCCGGUCUGUUUCAAUAAACAGGAUGUUUAGACAUAUGUUUAAAUUCUACGGUUCUUAAAGACCAUAAAUUUAAAAAAGGCUUUAUGAAGAAAGCUCUUUAUGCUUUUCCAGUGAUUUAAGAUGAUACCGGGGAAGGUUUUCCGGUUUAUCCCGGAGGGCUUGUAGCUCAGUUGGUUAGAGCGCGCGCUUGAUAAGCGUGAGGUCGGAGGUUCAAGUCCUCCCAGGCCCACCAAUUUAUGCUCGUUUUUUGCUUAUCCAAGAGUAUGAAGCUUAAGCGUAUUAAAGCCUCUUUUAAUCUUUGUUUAUUUUAAAGAUUUAAUUUUAUCAUUCAAAGAUUGUUUGUUAAAUUUAUUCUAUUAAGUUUGUCAAAGGGGGAGUUUGUCAAAGGAGGUUUUUAAAUCCCUUCAUUUGAAAUUCCUUCAAGGUAUAGAGAAAUUUAAAUGAUGUAUAGAGAAAUUUAAAUGAUGCAAAUCAAAAUAGUACAAAUCAAAGUCGUAUAAAUGAUUCAAGUU